UUUAUACAUUUUUUUUUUUUUUUAAUGGUUAAACACAAAUAUUUUGUACACGGUACCGAAAAAUAAAAGGCGAAAUAACUCGCGCGCGCGAACGGUCUGACACACAAAACGAGAAUGAGGCUCGACGGACGGGACAGCGGGGGUACCGACAGAAGGCGAUGUUGUCAAAACUUUUUAUUUUUAGCUUUGAAUUGUGUGGUCUGACUCAGGAAAUAGAGGUGAUUUGACUUGUCGAGAGAUGGACUUACAGCACAUUUGUAUUAAUAAAGGGAAAAAAAGAAUACGCCACUGAAACCUGGCUUAACAAAGGAUAUAUUGUUUAAAUAUGGCAAGAUAGCCAGUGCUUGCCAAGUACAUAUGGAAGGUCGGUCAAAGUCAAGACGGUAUCGUAAAAGAAGUUGAUUUGGUGGUGGUCUUGGACAACGCUAGCUGCCAUUCACCGCGCAUAGAGAAGACCCUUAUUACAUCCUAGAGAAAAGAAGAAAUUAUGGAUUGGCUAACUGAUGCGAAUAUUAAGUUGAAACCUGACAUGAUAAAAAAAAGUUUAGCUUAAGAGUUAAUAGCCUUAGCAAAUAUUCACAAAUCACGCUAUCAUAAAUAUAUUGUGGAAGAUUUUAUAUAUAGAUAUAAUAUUAUUUAUAUUUUUUAUUAACUUUCAAUAAAGUUAUAAUACUUGGUUUAAUUUA